ACAUCAACGGGUGUUGUUAAAAAUCCAGAAAUCCCUCCUAAGAAAA
rnacentral:antisense_RNA from 1 species